GAGUGGACGCAUCACUGGUGUUCGGGUUGUCAUGCCAAUGGCACUGCCCGGUAGCUAAAUGCGGAAGAGAUAAGUGCUGAAAGCAUCUAAGCACGAAACUUGCCCCGAGAUGAGUUCUCCCUGACUCUUUAAGGGUCCUGAAGGAACGUUGAAGACGACGACGUUGAUAGGCCGGGUGUGUAAGCGCAGCGAUGCGUUGAGCUAACCGGUACUAAUGAACCGUGAGGCUUAACCUUACAACGCCGAAGCUGUU
rnacentral:rRNA from 1 species